CUUCGCCUACGGGAGGCAGCAGUGAGGAAUAUUGGUCAAUGGCCGAGAGGCUGAACCAGCCAAGUCGCGUGAGGGAUGACGGCCCUACGGGUUGUAAACCUCUUUUGUCGGGGAGCAAAGAGAGUCACGUGUGACUCAUUGAGAGUACCCGAAGAAAAAGCAUCGGCUUACUCCGUGCCAGCAGCCGCGGUAAUACAGAGGAUGCGAGCGUUAUCCGGAUUUAUUGGGUUUAAAGGGUGCGCAGGCGGAGGUGCAAGUCAGCGGUCAAAUUGCGGGGAUCAACCCCGUACUGCCGUUGAAACUGC
rnacentral:rRNA from 1 species